rnacentral:rRNA from 1 species
GACGAACGCCGGCGGCGUGCCUAACACAUGCAAGUCGAGCGAAGUGAGUACUACGGUACGAACUUAGCGGCGGACGGGUGAGUAACGCGUGGGCAAUCUACCCUGUAGACUGGGAUAACACCUCGAAAGGGGUGCUAAUACCGGAUAAUGUCGAGAAGCGGCAUCGCUUUUCGAAGAAAGGAGAGAAUCCGCUAUAGGAGGAGUCCGCGUCCCAUUAGCUAGUUGGGGAGGGUAACGGCCCACCAAGGCGACGGUGGGUAGCCGGCCUGAGAGGGUGAACGGCCACACUGGAACUGUGACACGGUCCAGACUCCUACGGGAGGCAGCAGUGGGGAAUAUUGUGCAAUGGGGGAAAUCCUGACACAGCAACGCCGCGUGAGCGAAGAAGGCCUUCGGGUUGUAAAGCUCAAUAGUAUGGGAAGAUAAUGACGGUACCAUACGAAAGCCCCGGCUAACUACGUGCCAGCCGCCGCGGUAAUAC